rnacentral:rRNA from 1 species
GAUGAACGCUGGCGGCGUGCUUAACACAUGCAAGUCGAACGGAGAGGCCCUGCUUUUGUGGUGUGCGCGAGUGGCGAAAGGGUGAGUAACACGUGAGGGACAUGCGCUUGGCUGUGGGGUAACUUCAUGGGACUGGGUCUAAAAUCGGGUAGAAGAUUCGGCGGCAUGUGGUGGGUUGGUAAAUUUCGGCGGUGGGGGAUGGACAGGCGGCUUAUCAGCUUGUUGGUGGGGUAGUGGGUUAACACGGCAUUGACGGGUAGCCGGCCUGGGAGGGUGACAGGCCCCAUUGGGACUGAGAUACCGCCCAGACUGAUACGGGAGCAAGCAGUGGGGAUUAUAGCACAAUAGGCGGAAGCAUGGAGCAGCAAUGCCGCGUGCGGGAUGUCGGCUUUCGGGUUGUAACCCGUUUCCGCCUGUGACGUAGCGUGAGUGACGGUAAUGUGUAAAGAAGCACCGGCUAACUACGUG